GCAGCAGCCGCGGGAAUACAGAGGGUGCGAGCGUUAAUCGGAUUUACUGGGCGUAAAGCGUGCGUAGGCGGCUUUUUAAGUCGGAUGUGAAAUCCCUGAGCUUAACUUAGGAAUUGCAUUCGAUACUGGGAAGCUAGAGUAUGGGAGAGGAUGGUAGAAUUCCAGGUGUAGCGGUGAAAUGCGUAGAGAUCUGGAGGAAUACCGAUGGCGAAGGCAGCCAUCUGGCCUAAUACUGACGCUGAGGUACGAAAGCAUGGGGAGCAAACAGGAUUAGAUACCCCUGUAGUCCCUGUCUCUUAUAA
rnacentral:rRNA from 1 species